GGAAAAGAAUAUUUAUUGUAAAAUAUGUCCAUGUUCUUGGCUAUAACAAGACUUACUUUCUGGGGGAAAAAACAUUGCCAUAGUCCUAUUUCUGCUACAGGAAGGUUUCUUUGUGGGAAUGAGCCACUCAUCUAAUGACACGGACAACACAGUGGCUAGGCAGCCACUUUACAAUGUGUCUCAAUACAGUUUUCUCCAUUCUUUCUGCCUUAGAAAAAUACGUCGCAAUUACACAAAUGAUUUCCUUAGGUGAAAAUAGAAAUGAAAAGAAGUCGAAGAGCUAUUCAUAUUGGCAGUUUUCAUCAACUUCAGCUAUAUUUACUGUAAGAUCCCUAAUGACAAAACGUUCAUCUAUCACAUCACCAGAGUAUCACAACCACAAUUUGCUACCCCAGACUCUGACACAGAGUAAAUUCCCAAAGAAUAUUCUUACAUAAAUAAACUCAUGAAUGCAUAAUCAUGCAUAAAUCCAUUAACUAUAGCAUUAUCAUCCUUUUUCUUUAUUCUUGAUAUCAACAUCAUUAACACUAUUAUUAUAACUAUUAAAUAAGCUGA
rnacentral:lncRNA from 1 species